CGUAGGGGGCAAGCGUUGUCCGGAUUUACUGGGCGUAAAGAGCGCGUAGGCGGACGUUUAAGUGUGGCCUGAAAGCCCCCGGCUCAACCGGGGAUCCGGGUUGCAAACUGGACGUCUUGAGGGGGAUAGGGGAAGGUGGAAUUCCUGGUGUAGCGGUGAAAUGCGUAGAGAUCAGGAGGAACACCCGUGGCGAAGGCGGCCUUCUGGGUCCGCCCUGACGCUGAGGCGCGAAAGCGUGGGGAGCGAACGGGAUUAGAUACCCCGGUAGUCCACGCCGUAAACGAUGAUUACUAGGUGUGUGUGGUAUCGACCCCACACGUGCCGCAGCUAAACGCAAUAAGUAAUCCGCCUGGGGAGUACGGCCGCAAGGUUG
rnacentral:rRNA from 1 species